rnacentral:lncRNA from 1 species
GAAAGGGAUUUAAGCAGCAGCGUGUCUUCAGCCCCAAGUUUCCAGGUGAUGCUGAUGCCGAUGUUGCUGGCCAGAGGACUAAAUGUUGAGAACCGUUGGAUUUGAUAAUCUCCUCUACAGUUGUAUAAUUCUAUGCCUCUUUUCCCAACUCCUUUUCAAGUUGUAGCACCUCUCCUUUGACUUCUGCAACAUUAUUUCAUUUAAAAAUUGCUAUAUGGCGAACUGAGGUUUAAAAUUUUUAAAUGGAUUAAUUUUAUCUGAGUUUUUCUUCAGAAUUCCAUAUAUUUUGUGAAGGCGUUGUUCAAACUCAGCACCACCAAGCUGCCCUGGAAUGGAACUUCUGCUCAGUUCUUGGAUUGAGGGAUGGAGGAGGAGUUUACUUCAUUCAUUCUCAGGGACUCUUAACUGGUGAGAAGAAUUUAGGAUAUUUUACCAUCUGGAGUUUCUCUGCCUCACUGGUUGCAAAAAUAUCUGCCUCUGAGAGCUCAGGAGGAUCUGCUUUGUGGGAGCAAAGGUAGUGAGUCAUACCUGGAAGCUUGCGCCUCUUCAUCCAGUCAAGUCUCCUAGGCAACAGUUUAUGCAGCACUUAAAAGAUGAGGAGUUAAGAGGAGAAAAUGGAAAAAAAAAAACAACAGAAGUACUUUUAAUGGAACAGAAUAAACCACUGAACAGCAAUUUCCUGGCCAGAGCAGGAACUAGAGCAGAGUCUGGGAGAAGUGACCAUGCCAGGACGGUUUUCCCACCUGUGCUUCCCUGCACGACUGAAAGGAGGGGUGUGUCCGACCCUCGCUGCAGUCCGUGUGCCGCAAAGCAGAAUCCAGCUCCGACCCACCACGAAGGUUGUUAAUGCGCUAUUAAUGGUGUUGAAAUAUGAUGUUUUGGUUACAUGUACAAGCUGAGUUUGAAUAUGGAUGAAGUGUGAGCUUUCCACACGUGGUCACAGAGCAGCCAUCAUCCUCCGUGGGCAGCACCUGUCUUUGCUGUCCUGUGUGUGGUUAAGGCCCAAGGAAGAGUGGUGUGAUUGCAGCUGACUUACUUGAUCUUACUCUGUUGAGGACGGACUUCUCGUGAGGUCGGCUCAUGUAGUCGCUCCUGUAAUCGGCUUUUUGUUUAUGUUCUCAGUGCUGUUCGGCAAAUGCUGCAGGGACAUAGAGCACUGGCACGUAGCUGUCAGGAUUUGCCAUCUGGGAGGUGAUGUCCCGCCGAGCGCCCUGCUCCCUCCUGUCCCAGGCCUCUGUCACCUCCCAGAAGCUCCACACCCGCCCCUCGGUUUUCACUUCUCAGUCUCUGUAGCUGCCACCCCGCCUGUGCACAGAGCAGACAGACCCCCAGAAGUGAGCUCACUCGGGUUCUGGCCCGAGUCAACACUUACCUGCACCUGCCUUGUUUUCCUGGCCUCCUGUUCCAGUGGGAAGGAUCCUUUCCCCCAUCUGAGACCCUGGACCCCAUCCCCUCUCACCUCCUCAGAGACUUUCUUUCUCUGCCCAUUACCUGCCAUUCGCCAUUGACUCUCUCUUGCGAGCAUGUAAACCUACUCAAGUCUUACAAGUUAAAAACAAAACCGGGAGUUCCUGUUGUAGCUCAGUGGUAACAAAUGCAACUAGUAUCCAUGAGGACACGUGUUCGAUCUCUGGCCUCACGCAGUGGGUUAAGGAUCUGGCGUUGCCAUGAGCUAUAGUGUAGCACAGAUGUGGCUCAGAUCUGGCCUUGCUGCAGCUGUGGUGUAGGCCGGCAGCUGCAGCUCUGAUUCAGCCCCUCGCCUGGGAACUUCCAU